rnacentral:rRNA from 1 species
CAGGCUGAAGACCUUACCCGAUUAGCGUGAGAGGUGGUGCAUGGCCGUCGUCAGUUCGUACUGUGAAGCAUCCUGUUAAGUCAGGCAACGAGCGAGACCCACGUCCACAGUUGCCAGCAUACCCUCCGGGGUGAUGGGUACACUGUGGAGACCGCCGCUGCUAAAGCGGAGGAAGGAGCGGGCAACGGUAGGUCAGUAUGCCCCGAAUCUCCCGGGCUACACGCGGGCUACAAUGGUUGGUACAAUGGGCAUCUACCCCGAAAGGGGAAGGAAAUCUCUUAAAGCCAAUCGUAGUUCGGAUUGAGGGCUGCAACUCGCCCUCAUGAAGCUGGAAUCCGUAGUAAUCGCGUUUCAACAGAACGCGGUGAAUACGUCCCUGCUCCUU